rnacentral:misc_RNA from 1 species
CCCCCAUGACUUGCUUCUCCAUAAAAUAUUCAAAAUAGUUUGAAUCAUGCUGAUCACCAUAAGUUAUCAACUCUGCCAUUGACCUCAGUGCCUCAAUCACAAAAUCCUUAUUAACCUCAUUUACAAUUUGAACUUUCUGGAGCUGAUCAGUUAAAUAUCUGAGUUCAUCCAAGGAGAAUCGAUCUCUGGAUCUCCAAAAGGAAAGCCACAUGAUUGUGGAAUCAGAGCUUAAAUAAAAAAUAAUAAUAAUAAUAAGUUCGUCGGAAUUCAAUC